rnacentral:rRNA from 23 species
AAAUUGAAGAGUUUGAUCAUGGCUCAGAUUGAACGCUGGCGGCAGGCCUAACACAUGCAAGUCGAACGGUAACAGGAAGCAGCUUGCUGCUUUGCUGACGAGUGGCGGAC